rnacentral:rRNA from 1 species
GUGGGGAAUAUUGGACAAUGGGCGAAAGCCUGAUCCAGCCAUGCCGCGUGUGUGAAGAAGGUCUUCGGAUUGUAAAGCACUUUAAGUUGGGAGGAAGGGCAGUAAGUUAAUACCUUGCUGUUUUGACGUUACCGACAGAAUAAGCACCGGCUAACUUCGUGCCAGCAGCCGCGGUAAUACGUAGGGUGCAAGCGUUAAUCGGAAUUACUGGGCGUAAAGCGUGCGCAGGCGGUUUUGUAAGACAGGCGUGAAAUCCCCGGGCUCAACCUGGGAACUGCCUCCAAAACUGCAUGACUAGAGUACGGUAGAGGGUAGUGGAAUUUCCUGUGUAGCGGUGAAAUGCGUAGAUAUAGGAAGGAACACCAGUGGCGAAGGCGACUCACUGGCCCAAUACUGACGCUGAGGCGCGAAAGCGUGGGGAGCAAACAGGAUUAGAUACCCCAGUAGUCC